CACUGCCCGGUAGCUAAAUGCGGAAGAGAUAAGUGCUGAAAGCAUCUAAGCACGAAACUUGCCCCGAGAUGAGUUCUCCCUGACUCCUUGAGAGUCCUGAAGGAACGUUGAAGACGACGACGUUGAUAGGCCGGAUGUGUAAGCGCAGCGAUGCGUUGAGCUAACCGGUACUAAUGAACCGUGAGGCUUAACCUUACAACGCCGAAGGUGUUU
rnacentral:rRNA from 1 species